rnacentral:misc_RNA from 1 species
AUGCGGUACAAAUUGGGCUCACUGAGCACUGUCCUUCUAGUAACUUUAAUUUGUUUCACAUUAUUAUACUAUUUUACUUUUACUGGAAAAGAAUACCGACUCAAAUCCCAGGAGGAUGAAUAUUUAUUAGAAUCUCUCAAGUUCAAUAGGAUAAACGCAUUGAAAAUCGCUAAAAAGAACCGAGAGGCACUGAUUAAAUCUUCGAAUUCUCUGAAUUAUACGGAUUUUUUCGAAAAAGUGAAAGUUGAAGCUCAUUGUGAGCAUAAAAUGAGAAUUGGAGGUGAUGGAGAUGGUGGGAAGAGUGUUUGUAAUCCGAAAAUGGUAAAGGAUGAUUACUACUAUCCUUGGGUCUUCAUGACCAAAUUGAAUAUGACCUGCAUAUUUAUGACGUCACUGGGAGAAAAUGCAAACUUAUCGGUGCAGAUAUUGAUCCACAAAACGCUACAACAAGAGCACUCUAUGAAAAAAUGAAUGGAAAAUUGUUUGUUGGACAAAUCCCAAUACCGCUGUCAAUUCCGUCAAUUCUCCGAAAAAGUGGAGCAAGUGAAGUGGAGCUAUUGAAAAUUGAUAUAGAAGGAGGAGAAUUUAUUGGGUUGGAGCCAUUGAUCAGGGAUUUUUAUGUUUGUCAGAUACUCAUUGAAAUCCACGGAUUUCCUACAAUCCAUCUUGCCUUGCUCAAAAUCAUGUCAAAAUACGGAUUUCGUAUUUUCAACGUGGAACCCAAUCCGCAGUGCUAUUUCUGUUGUGAAUAUAGUUUGAUCAACGAGUUUUGUAUGACUCAAUAUGGAGUUUUCCCGCUCGCCAUUGUUAUUCCGCAAAUGUAA